rnacentral:rRNA from 1 species
GUUAUAUGGUCAAGUGAAGAAGCGCAUACGGUGGAUGCCUUGGCAGUCAGAGGCGAUGAAAGACGUGGUAGCCUGCGAAAAGCUUCGGGGAGUCGGCAAACAGACUGUGAUCCGGAGAUGUCUGAAUGGGGGAACCCAGCCAUCAUAAGAUGGUUAUCUUGUACUGAAUACAUAGGUGCAAGAGGCGAACCAGGGGAACUGAAACAUCUAAGUACCCUGAGGAAAAGAAAUCAACCGAGAUUCCCUUAGUAGUGGCGAGCGAACGGGGACCAGCCCUUAAGUUGUAUUGAGAUUAGCGGAACGUUCUGGAAAGGACGGCCAUAGUGGGUGAUAGCCCUGUACGCGAAAAUCCCUUUGCAAUGAAAUCGAGUAGGACGGGGCACGAGAAACCUUGUCUGAAUAUGGGGGGACCAUCCUCCAAGGCUAAAUACUACUGACUGACCGAUAGUGAACCAGUACCGUGAGGGAAAGGCGAAAAGAACCGCGGAGAGCGGAGUGAAAUAGAUCCUGAAACCGUAUGCGUACAAGCAGUGGGAGCCCACUUUGUUGGGUGACGGCGUACCUUUUGUAUAAUGGGUCAGCGACGUAUUUUCAGUGGCGAGCUUAACCGAAUAGGGGAGGCGUAGCGAAAGCGAGUCUUAAUAGGGCGUCUAGUCGCUGGGAAUAGACCCGAAACCGGGCGAUCUAUCCAUGGGCAGGUUGAAGGUUGGGUAACACUAACUGGAGGACCGAACCGACUACCGUUGAAAAGUUAGCGGAUGACCUGUGGAUCGGAGUGAAAGGCUAAUCAAGCUCGGAGAUAGCUGGUUCUCCUCGAAAGCUAUUUAGGUAGCGCCUCAUGUAUCACUGUAGGGGGUAGAGCACUGUUUCGGCUAGGGGGUCAUCCCGACUUACCAAACCGAUGCAAACUCCGAAUACCUACAAGUGCCGAGCAUGGGAGACACACGGCGGGUGCUAACGUCCGUCGUGAAAAGGGAAACAACCCAGACCGUCAGCUAAGGUCCCAAAGUCAUGGUUAAGUGGGAAACGAUGUGGGAAGGCUUAGACAGCUAGGAGGUUGGCUUAGAAGCAGCCACCCUUUAAAGAAAGCGUAAUAGCUCACUAGUCGAGUCGGCCUGCGCGGAAGAUGUAACGGGGCUCAAACCAUGCACCGAAGCUACGGGUAUCAUCUUAUGAUGAUGCGGUAGAGGAGCGUUCUGUAAGCCUGUGAAGGUGAGUUGAGAAGCUUGCUGGAGGUAUCAGAAGUGCGAAUGCUGACAUGAGUAACGACAAUGGGUGUGAAAAACACCCACGCCGAAAGACCAAGGUUUCCUGCGCAACGUUAAUCGACGCAGGGUUAGUCGGUCCCUAAGGCGAGGCUGAAAAGCGUAGUCGAUGGAAAACAGGUUAAUAUUCCUGUACUUCUGGUUAUUGCGAUGGAGGGACGGAGAAGGCUAGGCCAGCCUGGCGUUGGUAGUCCAGGUUUAAGGUGGUAGGCUGAGAUCUUAGGUAAAUCCGGGAUCUUAAGGCCGAGAGCUGAUGACGAGUGUUCUUUUAGAACAUGAAGUGGUUGAUGCCAUGCUUCCAAGAAAAGCUUCUAAGCUUCAGGUAACCAGGAACCGUACCCCAAACCGACACAGGUGGUUGGGUAGAGAAUACCAAGGCGCUUGAGAGAACUCGGGUGAAGGAACUAGGCAAAAUGGCACCGUAACUUCGGGAGAAGGUGCGCCGGUGAGGGUGAAGCAUUUACUGCGUAAGCCCACGCCGGUCGAAGAUACCAGGCCGCUGCGACUGUUUAUUAAAAACACAGCACUCUGCAAACACGAAAGUGGACGUAUAGGGUGUGACGCCUGCCCGGUGCCGGAAGGUUAAUUGAUGGGGUUAGCGCAAGCGAAGCUCUUGAUCGAAGCCCCGGUAAACGGCGGCCGUAACUAUAACGGUCCUAAGGUAGCGAAAUUCCUUGUCGGGUAAGUUCCGACCUGCACGAAUGGCGUAACGAUGGCGGCGCUGUCUCCACCCGAGACUCAGUGAAAUUGAAAUCGCUGUGAAGAUGCAGUGUAUCCGCGGCUAGACGGAAAGACCCCGUGAACCUUUACUAUAGCUUUGCACUGGACUUUGAAUUUGCUUGUGUAGGAUAGGUGGGAGGCUUUGAAGCGUGGACGCCAGUCUGCGUGGAGCCAACCUUGAAAUACCACCCUGGCAACUUUGAGGUUCUAACUCAGGUCCGUUAUCCGGAUCGAGGACAGUGUAUGGUGGGUAGUUUGACUGGGGCGGUCUCCUCCUAAAGAGUAACGGAGGAGUACGAAGGUGCGCUCAGACCGGUCGGAAAUCGGUCGUAGAGUAUAAAGGCAAAAGCGCGCUUGACUGCGAGACAGACACGUCGAGCAGGUACGAAAGUAGGUCUUAGUGAUCCGGUGGUUCUGUAUGGAAGGGCCAUCGCUCAACGGAUAAAAGGUACUCCGGGGAUAACAGGCUGAUACCGCCCAAGAGUUCAUAUCGACGGCGGUGUUUGGCACCUCGAUGUCGGCUCAUCACAUCCUGGGGCUGAAGCCGGUCCCAAGGGUAUGGCUGUUCGCCAUUUAAAGUGGUACGCGAGCUGGGUUUAGAACGUCGUGAGACAGUUCGGUCCCUAUCUGCCGUGGACGUUUGAGAUUUGAGAGGGGCUGCUCCUAGUACGAGAGGACCGGAGUGGACGAACCUCUGGUGUUCCGGUUGUCACGCCAGUGGCAUUGCCGGGUAGCUAUGUUCGGAAAAGAUAACCGCUGAAAGCAUCUAAGCGGGAAACUUGCCUCAAGAUGAGAUCUCACUGGAACCUUGAGUUCCCUGAAGGGCCGUCGAAGACUACGACGUUGAUAGGUUGGGUGUGUAAGCGCUGUGAGGCGUUGAGCUAACCAAUACUAAUUGCCCGUGAGGCUUGACCAUAUAACACCCAAGCAAUU